GACGAACGCUGGCGGCGUGCUUAACACAUGCCAGUCGAACGGAAAGGCCCUGCUUUUGUGGGGUGCUCGAGUGGCGAACGGGUGAGUAACACGUGAGUAACCUGCCCUUGACUUUGGGAUAACUUCAGGAAACUGGGGCUAAUACCGGAUAGGAGCUCCUGCUGCAUGGUGGGGGUUGGAAAGUUUCGGCGGUUGGGGAUGGACUCGCGGCUUAUCAGCUUGUUGGUGGGGUAGUGGCUUACCAAGGCUUUGACGGGUAGCCGGCCUGAGAGGGUGACCGGCCACAUUGGGACUGAGAUACGGCCCAGACUCCUACGGGAGGAAGCAGUGGGGAAUAUUGCACAAUGGGCGGAAGCCUGAUGCAGCAACGCCGCGUGCGGGAUGACGGCCUUCGGGUUGUAAACCGCUUUCGCCUGUGACGAAGCGUGAGUGACGGUAAUGGGUAAAGAAGCACCGGCUAACUACGUG
rnacentral:rRNA from 1 species